GUUGAACGCUGGCGGCAUGCUUUACACAUGCAAGUCGAGCGGAUGAUGGUGUCUUGCUUCUGGGUCCAGCGGCUAACGCGUGAGUAAUUCCUCUGAGUCUGCCUGCUACAGGUGGAAAACGCUCCUAAUACCGCGCUAAUACCGCAUCCGUCCUGGGGGUCCGCCCGGGGGGUCUUCCGCCUCCACUCUAUCAGUUGAUCCUAGGUUGGCUUAGCUAGUUGGUGGGGUAAAGGCCUACCAAGGCGACGAUCCGCAACUGGUCUGAGAGGAUGAUCAGUCAAACUGGAACUGAGACAAGGUCCAGACUCCUACGGGAGGCAGAAGUGGGGAAUAUUGGAAAAUGGGCGAAAGCCUGAUCCAGCAAUGCCGCGUGUGUGAAGAAGGUAUUCGGAUUGUAAAGCACUUUAAGUUGGGAGGAAGGGCAGUAAGUUAAUACCUUGCUGUUUUGACGUUACCAACAGAAUAAGCACCGGCUAACUUCGUG
rnacentral:rRNA from 1 species